CAGAAAAUAGUUUAGAAAUUCAGAAUUCUGGCUUUGGGAGGCUCAGGGGUGAGCAGUUAAAAGAGUCUCUCUUUUCUGG
rnacentral:tRNA from 1 species